CACCCUUGUAUGGUUAUAAGCAGCAGGGACCAAGUGGAGAGGGCAGCCGCAUCCUGACACGCUGCCACAGCAGUCAGUCAGCCUAAGGGCAGCGUGACGCAGUGACUCCGUGUCAGCUUCCCCAGCACACCAUGAGCAGCGGGGCUCAUGCCUCCCUGCAUGAGAUCAGGACUAUGUCAAAAUAGGCCAUGCUUGGCCUUGUUUUAAGUCUCAAAGCCAAACCACAGCAAGAAAAGUAGCCGAAACAUCCACUCUUGACGGAGGUCUCUGCGACUUCUAUCCUAAUUUCAGGAAUGGGUAAUUCAAAUACCUGAGAGCAGGAAGGGAAAUCUACUGUCAUUAGAAAAGCAUCAACCCAUUAGACAAGACCUUAGUCACGUGGAAAUCUUCCUUUGAUAUUGUACAUUUUACUAAAUUCAGCAAUUUGAUGGGACUCAACAAGAAGAUACGGCCUAAAAGGAAGUUUUUAUUACUUAUUUAUUGCUAUCUUUGACAUUAUUUCUCCUGUGAUUGAUCAUUCCAUGGCAGAGAUGAAACUCACACACAAAUUGUGGCCCUGCAAAACUAUUUUCCAAGAGAAUGGAUCGUUAUUGAAGCUGUACGACAAAUGAAUGCUGGACUGCAGGCUAACACUGCUCUCGGAGUAUUUUAAUAUACAAAUACAGUGUUUUGAAACUGGACAACUGUGUGUCUUCGGGUCAGAUAACUUGUUUACUUGGUGCUUCCGUAGAGUCUGCUGAAGCCCAAAGACUGUCUUUAUUUGAUUAGCCCUUGAGAUUAGGGUGAAUUAAUGGGAUUUAAACAGACGAUUGGGUCAUGCUAUGACUUCCUGACGAUGAUGGAAUUUUUAUUCACACUGAUUCUCCAUAUUCGUGCUCUGAUAGUACUAAACUGCCUCCAGGCUUCUAAAGAAGAGUUGAAAAUGUUGUGGUCUUAUCUGACAUUUGGAAAUAACGCGGAAAUUCUUAAAAAACUGCAUUAGCAGCUUAAACAAAAGAGUCAUAGCAAAAGUCAGUUUAAAACUUAAACCUAGCACUACCACUCCAGUCCACCUUCACCAGCUCCAUUCAUCACACCACUUCAUUUGUGCUUCUCGGUGGCCCUAUGAUGCAGUUGCGGGGUUGGUGUGUAGAGAUGUAAUUGAGGUCUGUUUGGAUGCUCGGAUGCACACACUUUUAACGUUGACAAAGCACAACAUUCACCUAUUUUCUUUCUUUCUUUCUUUCUUUCUUUCUUUCUUUCUUUCUUUCUUUCUUUCUUUCUUUCUUUCUUUCUUUCUUUCUUUCCUUCUUUCUCUCUCUCUUUCUUUCUUUCUCUCUUUCUUUCUUUCUCUCUCUCUUUCUCUCUUUCUUUCUUUCUCUCUUUCUUUCUCUCUUCCUUUCUUUUUUCCUUUCCUGGCAGAAUUCUUUUGCUCUUUUACCACCUUUCUACUCGUACUCAAUAUUGCUUUGCCACUUGUAACAUUUCACUAAUAAAAGCAAAUGAUUAUGGUGAACGGCUGCACGGGUUUUAAUGGCUCCAAGCUUUCACCCCUCAUUUUCCUGUUAUUUCUGCGAAUGACCCCGGUGAAAUGAUACAGACGCUGUCUGGCAGUCUAAUACAAUACACCCCGACGGAUCCCAGCAAGCAGCAGCGCGCUUCCUGCACCGAAGGCACACUAGGGGGACUAGUUCUCUGCGGUGGAAGAGCACUGCUGCUAGCAGGCAGCGGGACUAUCCCAAAGCCUGCAAUUAAAUCAUACGGGACGACAAAACAAAACAAACCACCAAACCUAUAUUUUUGUUUGUAGAAACUUUUUUUUUUUUUUUUUUUUUUUUGGCUGAGAGCACGAUCAGGAGCGACCCGUUGAAUGAGUUCGGUGUUUUAACUGAACGGCAUUUGGGACUGCCUUACGAGUCAACGUCCUCGCUUCCCCCGCUGGCGUUGAGGCGCACGGCUGCCGAAGGGGAGCCCAGCAGGCGCACAGUCCGCACACACACGGGGCGCAGAGCCGACGGUGGCGGCAGCGGCCGGCUCGGGAAAGCUCCGGGUGCCGGCUUCGCCGCGCUCACAGCCCAACUUCUACUGCGGCUUUUCUUUCUUCCUUUCUUCUCUCUCUCUUUUUUUUUUUUCGGCGAGGCAACUUCAGACUUGCUGAGAGGAGCUGACUUUCGCCGAGGUGUUUUUAAUGCAGUUUUUAUAGCUUUCUCCUUUUUUUUUCAUCUCUAAUGAGCUGUUUUGCGGUGCGUUUCACAGCGCUAACCACCGCUCCGGCCGCAGCUUUGUUAUUCAGAUCUCCGCUCGCUCACAGAGCCGUCCUUCACAGCCGGGAGCCGACGCGCUCCCUCCUCGCGCCCCUGAGCGCUCCCCCACCCCCCAAACCACACCUAAAAGCGACUCAGGUGGGCUAGCAAAGGCGAGCCGCGCUUCUUUCCCG
ensembl:lncRNA